ensembl:lncRNA
UCAGCUGAAGUUGAGGGAUAAAGUUGGAACUCAGUUUAGGACGUUAAAGUUUGAGAUGCUGGAGUUCCCGUCGUGGCGCAGGGGAAACAAAUCCCACUAGGAAGCAUGAGGUUGCAGGUUCAAUCCCUCGCUCAGUGGGUUAAGGAUCCAGCAUUGCUGUGAGCUGUAGUGUAGGUUGCAGAUGCGGCUCGGAUCUGGCGUUGCUGUGACUAUGGCUGUGGCCAGCAGCUACAGCUCCAAUUAGACCCCUAGCCUUCGAACCUCCAUAUGCCGUGGGCGCAGCCCUCAAAAGACCAAAAAAAAAAAAAAUUGAGAUGCUUAAUCCAGUAGACUGUUGGUUAUAUAAGCCUGGAGUGGAGAAAAUAAGACUGGACCAGAGAUUUAACUUUCGGAGUUGUCGACAUACACAUAAUAUUUAAAGUUACCUCCUGGGUAAUUAAUGUUGCCAUCAUCAAAGGAUGAAUACAGAUUAAGAAGAGAAGGGGACCAAGGCUUGCGGUUUCAGAUCCUCCAAAAUUGAGAUUAGAGAAAUGAGGAGUCACACAGAAGAGGACUGAAAAUGUGUGAAUAAUGAGGAAAAGGAAAAUCAAGAAAGUGUGGUGUCCAUGAAACCAAGAGAAAAAAGUGCUGGUGGUUUUAAGAGGAGGACAGAGAACUGACCAACUCUGCAGUGAAAUCAUUAGAGAUAACAAGAGGAGUGUUGGUAGACAGGUGGGAAAGCGAAAGCAUGAUGGAACAGGUUCAAGAAAGGAGAGGUGGACUUCUAUAUGGGAUCUAAAAUAAGACACAAAUGAGCAUUACCUAUAAAACAGAAUCAGAGUCACUGAUUUAGAGAAGAAACUUGAGGUUGUUGAGGGGGAAGCAGUCGGGGAGUGAAUGAUUGGGAUUUGGGGCUUAGCAGAUGUAAACUAUUAUAUAUAGGAUGGGUAAACAAAAAAUCCUACUGUACAGUGCAGGGAACUAUAUUCAAUAUCCUGUGAUACACCAUAUAUAUUCCUUUUCCAUAUUCUUUUAUGUAUAUAUAUAUAUAUAUAUGAAUAUGGCUGGCUAACUUUGCUAUACAACAGAAACUAACAUUGUAAAUCUACUAUAAUUCAAUAAAAAAAUUUUAAAAGAAUGGAGGGAUAGGAUUAGAGCAAAUAUAGACUUUGGAGGAGUUUGUCUGUAAAUGGAAGUGAUACAUGGCAGCGGUUGGAGGAGUCAAAAGGCAGAAAUAACGGCAUGUUUGUAAAAUGAUGGGAAAGAUUCAUUUAAUAGGAAACAAAAAUUGUUGGACCAAAAGUGGGAAUGGCAGGGGCAGCAUCCUUGAGGGGAAGGCAUCCAGAUUUACAGAUAUUCCAUCUGUGGUAAUAGACAGGAAGGUAGAGGAAGUACUUGGGCACAAAUGUAGAUAGGAGGGUGGAUGCAGUGGUAGAAGGUUGUGCAAGUUCUCUUGUGCUGAAAAUAGGAUUCAAAGCCAAGGCUGAGUGAGGAGUAAGUAUGAAACGGUUCUCUAGGAGGGUGAGGAAGUGAAUGGAUUAGAGAAACAGAAAAAAUGCUGGGCAGCAAUUAGGUCGUUUUUUGAAGUGAAAGCUAGAGAGGUUUUGUUUAUCUUAGUAACUAAUUAACUUUUUAGCCAGGCUUUAUAUAUGGGCCUCUUUUCAUUAAUUUUUGCUUAAAACUUAAGUUGUUCCUAACAGGAUAAUUUGAUACGGUAUAGUUUCUGGUUAUAUACUUUAAUUCAAGAGAGAUUUCUUCUAUCAUAACUGAUGUUUCCUUCUGUUUCAGUUAUUCUAGUUUUUUUGCCCAUGAAUUUCUAUCAUUGAUUUAUCGAUGAGUUAGAUAUGGGCUCUCUUUACUCUAAAUAAUUUUCUCUUUCACAUUUUCCUCUCNNNNNNNNNNAACUUUUCAGAUUCAUUCUCUGCACCAGUGUUUCUUACCUGCCAGGUUGUCAAAAUCACCUGGGGACAUUUUUAAACAUGACGAUUCAGAGAUGAAACCCAUGUGAGAUUCUGAUUCAUUAGGUCUAGGAUGCAGCCUAAUAAUAAGUCUAUGUGAAAUGGUCCUGAGAGUUCCUGCUGUGGCUCAGCAAGUUAAAAACCUGACUGCUAUCCAGGAGGAUGCAGGCUUGACCCCUGGCCUUCUUCAGCGGGAUAAGGAUCUGGCAUUGCUGCAAGCUGAAGUGUGGCAGGAGCAAGAUGCACCUUGGAUUCCGUGUGGCUGUGGCUGUGGCAUAAGCCAACAUCUGUAGCUCUGAAUCCAGCCUUAGCCCAGGAACUUCCGUAUGCCACAGAUAUGGCCCUAGAAAGAAAAAAGAAAAA